rnacentral:rRNA from 1 species
UACGUAGGUGACAAGCGUUGUCCGGAAUUAUUGGGCGUAAAGGGCGCGUAGGCGGCCUGGCAAGUGGAAGGUGAAAUCCCUCGGCUUAACCGAGGAACUGCCUCCCAAACUGCUGGCUUGAGACCAGGAGAGGUGAGUGGAAUUCCCGGUGUAGCGGUGAAAUGCGUAGAGAUCGGGAGGAACACCAGAGGCGAAGGCGGCUCGCUGGACAGGCACUGACACUCAACUACGAAAGCGUGGGGAGCGAUCCGG